rnacentral:rRNA from 1 species
UGGGGAAUAUUGCACAAUGGGCGCAAGCCUGAUGCAGCCAUGCCGCGUGUGUGAAGAAGGCCUUCGGGUUGUAAAGCACUUUCAGCGGGGAGGAAGGCGAUAAGGUUAAUAACCUUGUCGAUUGACGUUACCCGCAGAAGAAGCACCGGCUAACUCCGUGCCAGCAGCCGCGGUAAUACGGAGGGUGCAAGCGUUAAUCGGAAUUACUGGGCGUAAAGCGCACGCAGGCGGUCUGUCAAGUCGGAUGUGAAAUCCCCGGGCUUAACCUGGGAACUGCAUUCGAAACUGGCAGGCUAGAGUCUUGUAGAGGGGGGUGGAAUUCCAUGUGUAGCGGUGAAAUGCGUAGAGAUGUGGAGGAAUACCGGUGGCGAAGGCGGCCCCCUGGACAAAGACUGACGCUCAGGUGCGAAAGCGGGGGGAGCAAACGGG